UUUUUAAAGUAUACCUUAAUUCUAAACUAGAAAAUAUAAAGACAAAAUAAAUCCAAAAGAGUUAUCUAAUCCUAAAAAAUAUAUAUGUCAAAGACCGGCUUGCAAGAGUUUCUAACAAAUAUAAAGAGAAGAGGCAACUAGUUUCAGACUCAGUUGGCUUGCCUUGAUCCUUAGAAGCCUUGACCUAGACCAACCAAGUCGGCCUUGUGAUCAUUUGACUUGCUCAACCUUAGAGAUUAA
rnacentral:lncRNA from 1 species